rnacentral:rRNA from 1 species
GAAAGAGAGGGUGAGAAGAGUCUGAUUCUGGUCAAGAGCCCCACCUCCCUUCGAUUUGUGUUGGUAUAUGUGUUUGCUGCUGGUUCUGCUGUUGCCAAGCUUGGCUGCUGCUUGGCCUGACUCUACUUGUGCUGCUAAUAUGUGCUACUAUAUGUUGUUGGUUGCCUCCUUAUUUGGUUAUUUGUGAAUCUGGAAACACUGUGUGAGAAGCAAGGAUUGAAAAGAAGGCUAUGAGCCAAUGAGAAGAGCUUCAUUUUCAGUUCAGUUUUUUGUAAGAAUUGAUGAAGGACAUGGCAUAUGUUCAGUUGCUAACAUUCUCUCUAUGGUGUAUGCACUUGUUGUUCCUUGCAUUGGAGGGAGAGGAAAACUCUCUGUGAGAACAAAGGAUUGAAGAGAAGGCUUAUGAGCCAAUGAGAAAAACUGAACUUUUAGUUUUUUAUUAAGAAUUGAUGAAGGAUAUGUCAUAUGUUCAGUUCCUUACAUUUUCUCUAUGGUGUAUGUACACUGCAUUCGAGGGAGAGGA